CGGCGGACGGGUGAGUAACACGUGGGUAACCUACCUAUAAGACUGGGACAACUUCGGGAAACCGGAGCUAAUACCGGAUAAGAUAUCGAACCGCAUGGUUCGAUAGUGAAAGAUGGUUCUGCUAUCACUUAUAGAUGGACCCGCGCCGUAUUAGCUAGUUGGUGAGGUAACGGCUCACCAAGGCAACGAUACGUAGCCGACCUGAGAGGGUGAUCGGCCACACUGGAACUGAGACACGGUCCAGACUCCUACGGGAGGCAGCAGGA
rnacentral:rRNA from 1 species